AUUGAACGCUGGCGGCAUGCCUUACACAUGCAAGUCGAGCGGUAACAGGUCUUCGGAUGCUGACGAGUGGCGAACGGGUGAGUAAUACAUCGGAACGUGCCCGAUCGUGGGGGAUAACGAAGCGAAAGCUUUGCUAAUACCGCAUAAGAUCUACGGAUGAAAGCAGGGGACCGCAAGGCCUUGCGCGAACGGAGCGGCCGAUGGCAGAUUAGGUAGUUGGUGGGAUAAAAGCUUACCAAGCCGACGAUCUGUAGCUGGUCUGAGAGGACGACCAGCCACACUGGGACUGAGACACAGCCUAGACUCCUACGGGAGGCAGCAGUGGGGAAUUUUGGACAAUGGGCGAAAGCCUGAUCCAGCCACGCCGCGUGCAGGAUGAAGGCCUUCGGGUUGUAAACUGCUUUUGUACGGAACGAAAAGACUCUUUCUAAUAAAGAGGGUCCAUGACGGUACCGUAAGAAUAAGCACCGGCUAACUACGUGCCAGCCGCCGCCGUAA
rnacentral:rRNA from 1 species